GAUUGCCAUCCUUACUAUGCCUUGUGUUACUAUUCUGCUAAGGCUUUAAUUCUUGCCUACUGAUUGUUUAUUGUCUCCAUUGUUCGUAAACCGCCCAGAAUAAUGCUUUACGCUAAACAGGAUGAUACAGAAAUCAAAUAAAUAAGAGCGAGGUAUUUAAAAUAAUUUGCAGCACCUUUCCAGGCAAAGCUUCCGUACGCUGGGCUGGAGCUUGGCCAAGGCGGCCUCCUCGCGAGCAAGGCGCGCCCUGGCCUCCGCCUCCUCCCCACCCACCCGCCUCCGGAGGAAGCGCAUUUACUCAAAAGAAUUACAUCAUCAUUCUGUGGGUUGUGGCAUAUUUCCAGUUACAUGCCAUCAAAUCACUUCCAAUAUAUGGCAACUGCGUGAAUGAGUAGUCUCCAAAAUGUCCGGUCACCUCUUGUAACCUCAGGACUCUGGAAGGAAUUUAGGAAGGCAAUCCAUCUCAUAUUUCUUCUUCUUCUUUUUCUGCUGCCUCUAAACUUUCCCAGCAUUAUUGUCUUUUCUGGACUAUUUUUGCCUUCUUAUGAUAUGCCCAAGACUUUAUACCGGAGAUAAAGGAGCAGGUGUGCUUGUCUCGCAUUUAUGUGAAUUACAGAAUCUUCUGUAAAAAGCUUUUCUUUCUGCUUUGUUGGAACACAGUUUUCAGCAUGGAUCACCCCUUUUUGGACUCACCCUUUUGGAAUGACAACAUGAAAGAAAUUACAGCUUUGUGAGGAUUUUUUUUCCAGAUCCAAUACUAAGACACUUUCUGUACCUCUUCUGCCAUUCAUAGUCUGC